rnacentral:rRNA from 1 species
AUUGAACGCUGGCGGCAGGCUUAAAAAAUGCAAGUCGAGCGAGCGGCGGACGGGUGAAUAAUGUCUGGGCAACUGCCUGAUGGAGGGGGAUAAAUACUGGAAACGGUAGCUCAUACCGGCUAACAUCAAAUGUGCCCAGAUGGGAUUAGCUGGGAGGUGGGGUAAUGGCUCACCUAGGCGACGAUCCCUAGCUGGUCUGAGAGGAUGACCAGCCCAACUUGAACUGAGACACGGUCCAGACUCCUACGGGAGGCAGCAUUGGGGAAUAUUGCACAGUGGGCGCAAGCCUGAUGCAGCCAUGCCGCGUGUGUGAAGAAGGCCUUCGGGUUGUAAAGCACUUUCAGCGAGGAGGCGUUACUCGCAGAAGAAGCACCGGCUAACUCCGUGCCAGCAGCCGCGGUAAUAC